ensembl:lncRNA
CCACCUUCUUCCUCAGCACCCACCCACCUAGACCUGGCAAAUGGCACCAGUGACCUCUAACACUUGGCCACUGGGACGUGGGCCUGGGACAGCUCGGUGAAGCCAGAGGCAGGUGAAGCACAGGACUACUUCUAGGAGAGCCAGAAAGGACAGGGCACAGGGAAGGGAGCAGACAGGGCUGCCUCGGAUACCUGGCCCAUAGGAUUUGCCAGGACACAUGAAGGGAGGCACAGAGAGCGUGCUGAGCUGUGCCUCACCAAGGGACGGAUGGGCCCUGUAACCCAGAAGUCUCUAAUGUGCUCAACCUGCUCCCCCCAUCUUGAGGGCCCCUCAGAGGAUGAUCAGGAAGUGGCUACCAUGAAGUUACCUGAGGCAAACACAAAAACAAAAACAAAAAACAACUGUUGAAAGCCUUAAUCUGGGCCACACUUUGUUCUGGAGGCAAGGCCUUGUGUAGCCCAGGUUGGCCCCAAACUCAUGAUCCUUCUCCCUCAGCCUCCUGAGUUCUGGGAUUACAGGCAUGCACCAGCACUGGCCAUCUUUUUUUAGUUCCAGGUAUAAAUGUUACCCAUGUUAUCGCCAAGGGACUCGGGUGGGGGUUGGGGGAGGUGUGUGCACCUCUCUCAGAGAGGACAAUUAGAGAAUUGAAGACCAGGACCAGUAAGGAGCGAAGGGUCUAGAGCCCACCUCCCACCCUUCUGCUUCCUUCUAGAACAAGGCUGAGGAGCAAGCAGGGCUUGGUCACACUGAGGUCUGAGGGUCACUGGCCCCGGUCAGAGCCUCUGCCUGGCCCCGGGGAACCUGGGCCUUUUCGAGCUUUCUCCUUUCCCUUUGCUGCUCAGAGAGAAGCUUAUUUGAAUCCACAUUGUCCUCAAGCUUGGUUCCAGAUCUGUUCUGAACACCACGAAUGAGGUCCAGAUACCUCCACCCUAGGGUGGGGCUGUUGCCUGAGCUGCCAGGUGGCCUGGGAGGGUGGGGACCGGCCAGGGAACAGCCUGACCCACACCCCUGCCUUGAGAUGCUGGGACAAGGGGCCCAGCCCCAGCCUGGGAGAGGAGGGCCCAGAGUGAAGUCUGCAUGGCAGUGGCAGGGAGCUGGGUGUCCUGGCUUCUAGUCUCAUUUGUAACACACACAGGCUGUGCCUCCCAGGGAGAAGAUGCCACCUCUCUGGGCCUGUUUCCUCAUCAACUAAAUAAGUCUUCUCCAGUCUAAUGGAGUUGGAAGGUGAGGGUGACCUAAAUUUGGGAGGUGCUAGAAGGGAAAAGGGUAGAAGAGACAUCUACCAGACUCUGUAACGCUGCUGCCCUCUGGUGGUUGCACGCAGUAACAGCACUGCAGUCUCUUGGGAGCAUCCCCCGGUCCCUCUCUCUGCCUCCCUCUGCUUCCUGCCGAUUUUUACCCAGGGUAGGAGGAAUGCACUCUUAGAGGCCUUUGUCAGGCGCCAGCUCUCUCGAGGCUUGGUGCAUGCUGAGGUAGCGGGGAAGAAAGGCAAUCACAGGGUGCGAGCAGGAUUCCCACAGCAGUGCUCUGGAUAACGUGGGUUCCAGAUCCCUUCUGCACUCCCUGAUGGAGAGGCUCCGCAGCCUACGUGGCUCACUGUGCCAGAGCCUGGGGAUCCUGAGGUCCCUGAUCCCUGCCUUCAGAAGCCUCUGCCCAACGGUGGGGCAGACAGGCAAACUGCAGGUUCUGCAGAAGGCGGCAGAUGCGGGGGCUGCUCAGAGGCAUAGUGUAUCGUAUGAGUAACACCUGGGACGUGCAGCUAGCCACUGCGGGCCCCUGUCUGACUGUGGGCCUGUCCUGGGCGCGUGGGCCUCCAGCCUGAUGGACCAGAAAGCCUUUGCCUCUAGGUCAGGGGCCUCUCUCCUGGCAGGCAGGCAGGCAGGCAC